GACGAACGCUGGCGGCGUGCUUAACACAUGCAAGUCGAACGGAAAGGCCCUGCUUUUGUGGGGUGCUCGAGUGGCGAACGGGUGAGUAACACGUGAGUAACCUGCCCCUGACUUUGGGAUAACUUCAGGAAACUGGGGCUAAUACCGGCUAGGAUCUCCUGCUGCAUGGUGGGGGUUGGAAAGUUUCGGCGGUUGGGGAUGGACUCGCGGCUUAUCAGCUUGUUGGUGGGGUAGUGGCUUACCAAGGCCUUGACGGGUAGCAGGCCUGCGAGGGUGAGCGGCCACAUUGGGACUGAGAUACGGCCCAGACUCCUACGGGAGGCAGCAGUGGAGAAUAUUGCACAAUGGGCGGAAGCCUGAUGCAGCAACGCCGCGUGCGGGAUGACGGCCUUCGGGUUGUAAACCGCUUUCGCCUGUGACGAAGCGUGAGUGACGGUAAUGGGUAAAGAAGCACCGGCUAACUACGUG
rnacentral:rRNA from 1 species